rnacentral:rRNA from 1 species
AUUGAACGCUGGCGGCAGGCCUAACACAUGCAAGUCGAACGGUAACAGGAAGAAGCUUGCUUCUUUGCUGACGAGUGGCGGACGGGUGAGUAAUGUCUGGGAAACUGCCUGAUGGAGGGGGAUAACUACUGGAAACGGUAGCUAAUACCGCAUAACGUCGCAAGACCAAAAAGGGGGACCUUCGGGCCUCUUGCCAUCGGAUGUGCCCAGAUGGGAUUAGCUAGUAGGUGGGGUAACGGCUCACCUAGGCGACGAUCCCUAGCUGGUCUGAGAGGAUGACCAGCCACACUGGAACUGAGACACGGUCCAGACUCCUACGGGAGGCAGCAGUGGGGAAUAUUGCACAAUGGGCGCAAGCCUGAUGCAGCCAUGCCGCGUGUAUGAAGAAGGCCUUCGGGUUGUAAAGUACUUUCAGCGGGGAGGAAGGGAGUAAAGUUAAUACCUUUACUCAUUGACGUUACCCGCAGAAGAAGCACCGGCUAACUCCGUG